rnacentral:ribozyme from 14 species
ACUUAGAAUGAUUGGUAGAAGAAAACCAGCCGCCAUCUUCUCUUCUUUGUUUUUUUUGUUUUUUUUUACUUUUUCUUUCUCUG